GACGAACGCUGGCGGCGUGCUUAACACAUGCAAGUCGAACGGUGAAGCGCCUUCCUUUUUGGUGGGUGUGGAUGAGUGGCGAACGGGUGAGUAACACGUGAGUAACCUGCCCCCUUCUUCUGGAUAACCGCAUGAAAGUGUGGCUAAUACGGGAUAUUCUGGGUCUGUCGCAUGAUGGGUCUGGGAAAGAUAUUGUUUCGGUGGGGGAUGGGCUCGCGGCCUAUCAGCUUGUUGGUGGGGUGAUGGCCUACCAAGGCGGUGACGGGUAGCCGGCCUGAGAGGGUGGACGGUCACACUGGGACUGAGACACGGCCCAGACUCGUACGGGAGGCAGCAGUGGGGAAUAUGGCACAAUGGGCGCAAGCCUGAUGCAGCGACGCCGCGUGAGGGAUGGAGGCCUGCGGGUUGUGAACCUCUUUCGCCAGUGAAGCAGGCCUGCCUCGUUUGUGGGUGGGUUGACGGUAGCUGGAUAAGAAGCGCCGGCUAACUACGUG
rnacentral:rRNA from 1 species